ACCCAAAGGAAACACUCUUCCUCAAGCACACCUUUCUUGCCAAAUUAUCCAAAACAAGGAAACCCUAACUUCAAAUGUUCUUGGACCAAUUUUUAGAUUCUAAGCUACAAACUAAGAACUAAAAACUAUGACAAGAAAUACUCAAUCAAUUCAUAUAAGUCUUGGAAAAAUACAAGCUAAAGGGUCUAUUUAUACUCAUUACAAAUAAUGACAAAAAUACCCUUAAUGAAGGGUGCUCCUUUGGAGUGUAAAAAUAGGUCAUUAAAAGACAAGAAUGCCCUUAAUAAACCCCCAAAUAGAGGCAGCCUUUGGAGUGUAUUUCAAAGAUCCUCUUCAUACAUUAGCAUAUACACUCCAAUAGGUGAACUCAUGAAAUAAUCACAAGCUUCCAACUUCAUGAACAUUGCUUGAAGACCACGUAGCUCUUUGACUUGAUUCCUUAUAAAAGGUCUUGUACUCUUGGUGCUUCUCAUGCUUGUAUCAAAUAGAGAACCUGAGAUCCGAUGUAAACAAUCAGUCAAAGAAGCAGAGCUUAUAGCCUUUACUUUAUAUAAAGUGCACUCACUUUAACGGCUACCUUUUACAUAUGGGUCAGUAAGGAAAUGAGAACAGCAGCUUAAGCUAUUAGGUGUAGGUGCUUUCUAGAGGUGGAAUCUUCUAGUUCUUUCUAUUUGACCCAAAACCAGUCAAUCUAUCCAUGAGCAGGUUGAAGAGAGCUCUAACAGGCCUUGGAGGACCGAACCCACGUAUGUGGCAAAAUACGGGGAUAACUUGUGGCUAGGGGUGAAAGGCCAACCAAGAUUGGAUGUAGCUGGUUUUUCGUGAAAUCUAUUUCAGUAGAGAGUAUGAUGUCGAUUGCCCAAGGAAGAGCACUCAAUGGGCUAGGGUGGCCUCAUUUCACCUUACCAACCCUAGGGAAACUCCGAAUACAGGCUUAGAUCGUUUGUGCAAAUAGACUUUUUGGGUGCUAAGAUCCUAAGUCGAGAGGGAAAUAGCCUAGAUCGUAUGCUAAGGUCCCUAAGCAAUCACUUAGUGGAAAAAAAGUGAUCGACCGAUGACAACCAGGAGGUGGGCUUGGAAGCAACCAUCCUUUAAAGAAAGCGUAAUAGCUCAUUGGUCUAGAUCCAUGGUACCAAAAAUGUAUCAGGGCUCAAGUGAUUCACCGAAGUGAUGAGACCUUGAAAUCUACUUUUCAAGUAUUAGUAACAGAAUGUUCAGUCAAUCGGGGAAGGUUUUUGGUGACAAGACCUGGAGAUAUCAGAAGUGAGAAUCCUGACAUGAGUAAUGAAAAAUCCUGUGAAAAACAUAAUCGAAUGCUAGUGGAAGGUUUUCUGCGUUCAGUCAAUCUACGUAGAGUGAAUCAGUCCCUAAGGAACCCCCAAAAGGGCCUAGUCCGAUGGGUACACGAAAGUGAUGAAGUUGCUUUAACUACAGAACUAUGCCUAUCUAUUGGACCAAAUUGGAUGAUUGAGUUGAGGGUUUCCCCCUCUUUCCCUCACUCUCCUUACCCUAAUAUGAACCUUGAGUUAUCAAAGCCUUUUUGACUCGUCCUGGCCCGGUCGCCCUACGCGACUGGCUCUUCAAAAGGCAAAAAUCUCGAUCGUAGUUUGGCAUCCUAUCUUCAGUAGGGGCCUUUAGUCUUUUGAUUAGAGUAGGGUUUGUGAGAGAGUAGAGCGUACCGCCCUGCCAUAGUAACGAGUUUAUUUAUAGUCACGACUAUUGUCAUAGUCAACAAGGUUAAAACUUCCAGGGAAAAACUUCGAAUUGAGAGGGAGAUCCUCCUAAUGAACUGACCGUACCCCAAACCGACACAGGUGAACAAGUAGAGUAUACUAGGGCGCUUGAGAGAACCAUAUCAAAGGAACUCGACAAAAUGACCCUGUAACUUUGAGAGAAGAGGUGUUCUCCUAUGUUUUAAUUAGGUAAGUGGCACCUACCAGGGGGUAGAGACUGUUUAUUAAAAAUGUAGGACUCUGCUAAGUGGUAACAUGGUGUAUAGAGUUUGACACCUGCCCAGUGCUGGAAGGUCGAAAGGAGAAGUGUUAUAAGCUUUGAAUGGAAGCCCCGAUAAAUGGAGGCAGUAACUCUAACAGUCCUAAGGUAGCAAAACUCCUUGUUUCAUAAGUAGCGACCUACACGAAUGGUGUAACGACUGGCCCACUAUCUCUGAUAUAGACCCGAUGAAAUUAAAUUCUUCGUGAAGAUGCAGAAUACCAACGGCUAGAUGGUAAGACCCCGUGCACCUUAACUAUAGCUUUGCAGUGAUAACCUUAAUCUAAUAUGUAGGAUAGGUGGGAGAUGGUGACACACAACGACCAAUCUUAAAAGACCACUCUUUCUUCUAAGGAUGCCUAACCACUGCACCGAUCAUUCAAGAGGAGGCGGGACACUGUGAGGUAGGUAGUUUAUCUGGGGUAGAUGCCUCCUAAAGAGUAACGGAGGUAUCCAAAGGUAGGCUCAAGCUAAGAUUCUAUUCAUGAGAAUAAUAGUAUAAGCCUGUCUGACUGUGAGACCGACUGGUCGAACAGAGAUGAAAGUCAGCCAUAGUGAUUUGGGUGUCCCGUAUGGAAGGGCUCUCGUUCAAUGGAUCAAAGGUACACCGGGGAUAACAGGCUGAUGACUCCCAAGAACUUUUAUCGACAGAGUUCUUUGGCACCUCGUGUCGACUUAUCAUAUCUUAGGGUUGAAGAAGGUCCCAAGGGUUUGGUUGUUCACCGAUUUAAGUGGUACAUGAGUUGGGUUUAGAACAUUGUGAGAUAGUUUGGUUCCUAUCUACCAUUGGUAUUAAAGGGAGAACUGCGAGGUGCCAACCCUAGUAUAAGAGAACUGGGUUAGGCUAACCUAUGGUGUAUUGAUUGUUAUGCUAAUAGCAUGCCGGACAGCUAAGUUGGUAUGGAAAAACUAUUGCACCAUGGGAAAUCCUUCUCUAUAUAAGUUCUUGGAUGAGGUUUUUGAAAGAACUUCGAUAGGCGAGAGGUGAAAGCACCGCGAGGUAUAAAGCAAUCUCAUACUAAACGAAAUGAGUUUCACUU
rnacentral:rRNA from 1 species